AAAAUCGCUCGACUUUAGAAAUCGUGAG
rnacentral:tRNA from 1 species